GAGUCAUGGACUUGGGAGGAAAUCCCGGACGGGAAAGGACCAUGGACUCAAGCUGGGGAUUAUCGCCGCCCACAGUGGGAGAUCGAGGCGGCGAGAGCUGAGAGGCGCUGGUAUGAGGAAAGGGAGCGCAACGGACACGGGAGGCAGCCCCACAAUUUUUUUGGGGGGGGGGCACACGGGGAGAUUGGCGGAGUCAGGUGGUAGACCUAAGCCAACUCCCCGUGCUUACCGGAAGCAGCGUGGUACUGGUAAGACACCGUGCUAUGCUGUGGAGCGCACGGUGUCCCCAGUGUGCGUUCAAAGCCCGGUGCGCUACAUACCAGCCCCCCGCAAGUGCCAUGCGAGUGCAGGCAUCGAGCCAGGGCGGAUGGUGCCAGCUCAGCGCGUCUGGUCUCCAGUGCGCCUCCUCGGUCCAGGUUAUCCUGCGCCGGCGUUGCGCACUGUGUCUCCAGAGCGCUGGGAGGGUCCAGUUCGCCCAAUGCCUGCUCUCCGCCCGUGCCGGGCCAUAGUGGGCAUUCAGCCUGGAGUGUGGGUAAAGAGUGUCCGUACCAGAACUCCAGUGCUCCCCCACAGCCCGGUUUAUCCUGUGCCUCCUCCUAGGACCAGGCCUCCAGUGGGUCUCCCCAUCCUGGUCCAUCCUGUGCCACCUCCCAGGGCCAGGCCUCCAGUGGGUCUCCCCAUCCUGGUCCAUCCUGUGCCACCUCCCAGGACUAGGCCUCCAGUGGGUCUCCCCAUCCUGGUCCGUCCUGUGCCACCUCCCAGGACUAGGCCUCCAGUGGGUCUCACCUGUCCAGAGCAGUCAGAGCUGCCCGCCAGUCAACAGUCGUCAGAGCUGCCCGCCAGUCAACAGUCGUCAGAGCUGCCCGCCAGUCAACAGUCGCCAGAGAGGUCAGACUGCGCUGAAUUGCCGGAGUGGCCAGACUGCGCUGAACUGCCGGAGUGGCCAGACUGCGCUGAACUGCCGGAGUGGCCAGACUGCGCUGAACUGCCGGAGUGGCCAGACUGCGCUGAACUGCCGGAGUGGCCAGACUGCGCUGAACUGCCCUGAACUGCCAGAGUGGCCAGACUGCCCUGAACUGCCAGAGUGGCCAGGGACGCCCGCAAGCCGGGCGCAGCCAGGGACGCCCGCA
rnacentral:lncRNA from 8 species